rnacentral:lncRNA from 1 species
AACUUUUUAUACUGAUAAUUGUGCAGUUGAAGAAGAUUUUACCCAGAAUACUCCAAAAGUCAUGAAUUCUGCAUUUAGGGUAAAAAGGUUUGAUUGAUGUUCUUCUUUUUCAGCUACAAUUUCCGUCAUACCUAAUCUUAUUUCUAUUGUCCUUCGUUUUUGGAACCUAGUACUUUUUAAAUGCUGCAUGUCAGUUAAAAUUGAAGGCUAGAAGGUAAGAGCUCGACGUAACUUUCCUACUUGAUUGCAAUUAUUUAUUUCUUUUGUCGUAUAACUGUUUUAUUGUGUGUGUGGCACUUCAUACAGGAGGUUGUUAAAGUCAUUUUGCACGACUCUGAUCAUGAUAUAUUAGAAAUUUCUUCACAUAUACAUCUAUGAGGUUGAUGCAACUAAGUACAAAUUUGAGUUCAUUGGGUGGUUGCAGAUCAGUGACAGAAGUUUUGGACAACAUGAAGGGUUCUACUAAUAUUGAUUUACAAAUUUCUUUUCUACUGUUAAACGGCGCAAGUGUUUUGGCUUAAACAACAAUUUCAACAUUAUUUACUCGGCUAUUUUGUUCGUUGAUUGCUGUCACAAGGUCCUACAUUGUAGAUUCUUAUUGUUGUUGCCUGCAGUGCUGCUUUUUCUAAUAAUUCUCUGACGGCUGUCUGAACUUCUGGUUAAAUUGCUUGAUUUAAUAAACAAGUCCAGUGUUUAGUGCCUUUAGCCUCUCUUUUUG